rnacentral:tRNA from 1 species
AGAAAGCUCAGCUGGUUCAGAGCAUCCCGAUAUAUAAUCGGGAGGGUCACUGGUUCGAACCCAGUAUCUCCCA